GAUGAACGCUGGCGGCGUGCCUAAUACGUGCAAGUCGAGCGAACGGACGAGAAGCUUGCUUCUCUGAUGUUAGCGGCGGACGGGUGAGUAACACGUGGAUAACCUACCUAUAAGACUGGGAUAACUUCGGGAAACCGGAGCUAAUACCGGAUAAUAUUUUGAACCGCAUGGUUCAAAAGUGAAAGACGGUCCUGCUGUCACUUAUAGAUGGAUCCGCGCUGCAUUAGCUAGUUGGUAAGGUAACGGCUUACCAAGGCAACGAUGCAUAGCCGACCUGAGAGGGUGAUCGGCCACACUGGAACUGAGACACGGUCCAGACUCCUACGGGAGGCAGCAGUAGGGAAUCUUCCGCAAUGGGCGAAAGCCUGACGGAGCAACGCCGCGUGAGUGAUGAAGGUCUUCGGAUCGUAAAACUCUGUUAUUAGGGAAGAACAUAUGUGUAAGUAACUGUGCACAUCUUGACGGUACCUAAUCAGAAAGCCACGGCUAACUACGUG
rnacentral:rRNA from 1 species